AUUGAACGCUGGCGGCAGGCCUAACACAUGCAAGUCGAGCGGCUGAAGGGAGCUUGCUCCUGGAUUCAGCGGCGGACGGGUGAGUAAUGCCUAGGAAUCUGCCUGGUAGUGGGGGAUAACGUCCGGAAACGGGCGCUAAUACCGCAUACGUCCUGAGGGCGAACGUGGGGGAUCUUCGGACCUCACGCUAUCAGAUGAGCCUAGGUCGGAUUAGCUAGUUGGUGGGGUAAAGGCCUACCAAGGCGACGAUCCGUAACUGGUCUGAGAGGAUGAUCAGUCACACUGGAACUGAGACACGGUCCAGACUCCUACGGGAGGCAGCAGUGGGGAAUAUUGGACAAUGGGCGAAAGCCUGAUCCAGCCAUGCCGCGUGUGUGAAGAAGGUCUUCGGAUUGUAAAGCACUUUAAGUUGGGAGGAAGGGCAGUAAGUUAAUACCUUGCUGUUUUGACGUUACCAACAGAAUAAGCACCGGCUAACUUCGUG
rnacentral:rRNA from 1 species